rfam:Myotis brandtii contig186323, whole genome shotgun sequence.
GUGCUGGCUUCAGCACCACAUAUAGUGAAAUUUGAAUGAUACAGAGAAGAUUAGCAUGGCCCUUGCAAAAGGUUGAAACAGGCAAAUUCAUGAAGUGUUCUUUAUAAAAAUUUUU